GUCACUGGGGUGUGGCCUGGACGGUAUCGGUCCACACCCCUUCCUCUCUCUCUCUGCUUCCCAGUGGCCGUGAGCUGAGCUGCUGUCCCCACGUCCUGCCGCCAUGAUGUUCUGCCUCAUCCUGGGCCCACACCCAGGGAGUCGGCCCAUCAUGGACUGGACCUCUGAAACCGGGAGCUAAAGUAAACUUUCCUUCUUCAAGUGGCCCUUGCCAGGCAUUUUGGUCACAGUGACAAAAAGCCAACACCGGGAGAGUGCUUCUUCUCCCACCUCCUGUUCUCCGCUGGCACCUGGGGGCUCUCCCUGGCACCAGAAGUUCGCACGUCCGUGGGCAGCAGGAUGCGCAGGUGAGGUGUCCCACACGUCCCAGGGCAGCCCUCCGGCUGUGGGGGACGCGAGAUGCCGAUCAAGACCUCGGCUCCUGACCUUUCAGGUGGGCGAUUCUGAGGGGUGUCCCACCUGAUCUCUUGGAGGUGCCUUGUGGGGCGAGUCCGACUGGCCACCAUGCUGUGCACCAAGGACGCUCCCUGGGUCAGCGUUCUCUCCAAGCUGAUCUUUGCCCCCCUGUCCUCUGCUCCCUGGAACUGACCCCACAUAAACCACACAACCCAGGUGCUUUUCUCAGGGUCAGCCGCGGGGCCACCCGUCUGGGAUAGACGCCUGCUCUGCUCACCCAUGGAGGGAGCCAGGGCUCUCUCCUCUUGCUCCCUGUGGACUGAGACACUUCUCAUGCCAGAAUUCCCACGUCCUGUGCAAGAUGGUGGGCGCCUCGGUCCAGUCAGGUUCGUCACCCAGCCCAGUGCCCCGGGAAGGCAGGGCGGGGUGGGGUCAGGUGUUUGCUAAAGAGUGAGGAAGCCCCCGAUUGGAGAACCGAGUCUCCGGAACCCCUCAGCUGCCACACCAAGGUGUCUGCCUAAUCCUCUCAAAGCUGAUCUUCACACAACAGAGGUCAGUGCAUGCGUGCCCCUCCCAGUCCCAGAGGCCACUCCUCUGCCCACCAGCCCCCCCCCCUUUCCCUUUGUGACAUCUUCCUUCCACAGAAGUCCUGAGUCCUCCUAGUGGGAGAUUCCAGCUCUUGUUAAAUAGCAGUUAAGGAGCCGCGGUGAAAUGCUAUUAUAAUGGGACACAACUGAGCGCCACCUCCCAGCAGAUGUCCCUUUAGAAGGCUGAGUUUGUCUCAACUGGACUUCAGGGCUCAUCCAGAAGGACCCAGGAGAACCACCUGUGGGCAGUCUCUGAAAGGAGCCCUGAGAAAUGAUCAGUUUUACAGUUCAAUUUCUCUGGCCUCCGUGGAUUCCUGGAUCAGGGUUUCUGGAGCAGCAACUGAGAUGGUUAUCGGGGUUGAGAAGUGACUUCUUGCAAGCUAGAUGCCUGAGGUGUGGCCCACACCCACUUUGACUCCCUGUGUAAGGGACCGGCGAAACGUCGGAGGAAGAGACCACCAAGAGACUGUCUCAUGCAACAGCAAAAAGGGUUUAUUUGGAGACCAGCGUGCUGGGGCUCAGAGCUCACUAGAGCAAAGAGAGACAGAGCAAAGAGCCCUGAGAACAGCUUAAGCAGAGCUUAUAUACUUUCCUUGGAGAGGGCAGGGAGGGAAGUUCAUUGACGGGUCAGGGCGAGUGGGCAGUUUGCCUGCAACCGGGUGAGGGGAUACAUUCUGCAGUUUGGCAGUUGGGGACAGCACAUUCUGGGAACAAGAGUAGCAAACAGUUCUCAAGAUUAUUAACCUUUCACCUGGGGAGGGCUGGGGGGCUCUGAGCAUGCCCAGAACACCCAGGACACCCGAAUCCCCCCAGCAAGCAUUUCACUAUAAAAUAAAGAAUUUUAAAAAGGUUUUCAGAGGGGACAGGGUGACCCUGGUCUGUGCUGCAGGUUGGCGGGGGAGCUUGGAAUCUGAGCCUGAGUCCAGACCCCUCAGCCCCUGGCCUCUUCCCAGGGCAGGCAGGGUGGGGCUCACCCGGAAACCCAAGGAACACUCAGUUCGAGACACUGACUUGGGAGUCAGAGAAUGUGGAAUAGGGGGCUGGCUCUGCUCUUUACUUGCUGGGUGACAUUGAAC
rnacentral:lncRNA from 1 species